CUCCAACCCAUUUUCAUGUUUUAUUCUUGCUAAGGUUGCCCAGGUGGGACUCAGACUUGUGGUCCUUCUGCCUUAAAGUUAGUUAAAAUCGAAAGACCUAAGUACAGGAAGGGCCAGACCAGGCAGGCCGUGUUGUCCUUUCUGGAGUUAAUCUACAGAUUCCUCUCCUCUGCAAUCAAAACAGCGCCCACGUGCGCACAUCCGGGCCAAGUCCACAGGACCCCGGCCGCAUACCCUGUGUGUGAGGACGUGGGGAGAUCCUGGAGUAGGGGAGGCCACACGGAACCCCAC
rnacentral:lncRNA from 1 species